UGGGGAAUUUUGGACAAUGGGCGCAAGCCUGAUCCAGCCAUGCCGCGUGAGUGAAGAAGGCCUUCGGGUUGUAAAGCUCUUUCAGUUGGGAAGAAACGAUUGCAACUAAUAAUUGUAAUUAAUGACGGUACCGACAGAAGAAGCACCGGCUAACUACGUGCCAGCAGCCGCGGUAAUACGUAGGGUGCGAGCGUUAAUCGGAAUUACUGGGCGUAAAGGGUGCGCAGGCGGUUUUGUAAGUCAGAUGUGAAAUCCCCGGGCUUAACCUGGGAAUGGCGUUUGAAACUGCAAGGCUAGAGUGUAGCAGAGGGGAGUGGAAUUCCGCGUGUAGCAGUGAAAUGCGUAGAUAUGCGGAGGAACACCGGAUGGCGAAGGCAGCUCCCUGGGCUAACACUGACGCUC
rnacentral:rRNA from 1 species